rnacentral:rRNA from 1 species
AUUGAACGCUGGCGGCAUGCCUUACACAUGCAAGUCGAACGGUAACGCGGGGCAACCUGGCGACGAGUGGCGAACGGGUGAGUAAUGUAUCGGAACGUGCCCAGUUGUGGGGGAUAACUGCUCGAAAGCGCAGAUAAUACCGCAUACGACCCGAGGGUGAAAGCGGGGGAUCGAAAGACCUCGCGCAAUUGGAGCGGCCGAAAUCAGAGUAGGUAGUUGGUGAGGGAAAGGCUCACCAAGCCGACGAUCUGUAGCUGGUCUGAGAGGACGACCAGCCACACUGGAACUGAGACACGGCCCAGACUCCUACGGGAGGCAGCAGUGGGGAAUUUUAGACAAUGGACGCAAGUCUGAUCCAGCCAUGCCGCGUGCGGGAAGAAGGCCUUCGGGUUGUAAACCGCUUUUGUCAGGGAAGAAACGCUCUGGGUUAAUACCCCGGGGUAAUGACGGUACCUGAAGAAUAAGCACCGGCUAACUACGUGCCAGCCGCCGCAGUAACAC